rnacentral:misc_RNA from 1 species
GCUGCUGUGUGUUCUGCAAAGAUAGCAUGUUGUCCUAGUAGAUCAUGGUACGCAUUUGAUGAAAAUUCUCCUUCCUCAAAGGACAAUGGAAGUCGUGCUAAACUACCAAAUGGACACCAAUGAACUCCAAAGGACAUUUCGGAGUAGCUUAAAUCAUAAAGGUCUUCAUCAUGGACCCAGUCAUCCAUGCUGAAUUCUGGCAGUGAACGGCAACCAUUUGCAUAAAGCCACUGGCCUUUCUCAAUUUUCCGACAAUUAGGGCAUUGCAUAGCGCCCUUUAUAUUAAAUGCUGAACCAAUGCAAUCCAAAUGGAAUUGAUGUCCGCAUUGGAGCUUGGCCCACGAUCGAUCCCCGUUUUCGGUGACUACCUCGAGGCAAAUCGAACACGAAACCGACCCAAACGACUUCCCGCGUCCUCCUACACCACCGCCACCGCCUCCAUCUCCAUCCACCAUCCCCAUCAUCAACAACCACAUCAUUUUCACUAUUUCCCAACCCCAUCACACCACCGCAACAAAAAUAAAUAAAUAGAUAAAAACCCCUAAUUC